GUGAAUCAUCGAAUUUUUGAACGCAAAUUGCACUCUCUUCGGAGAGUAUGCCUGUUUGAGGGUCAGCCUAAAAAAAAAAAAUCGACAUAGUCGCUGUUUCGCGGUGACAUUCGUCGGAAAUUGGUUCAUCUUAAACCUUUGGGUUUUUAGUGGUUUAAAAUUUUCUUUACGUUUCCACGAACGUUUCUAAAAUUUAUUUCUUAUACGUUUAAGGAAUCCAUCUU
rnacentral:misc_RNA from 1 species